UAGGAUUAGAGACCUUCUCUACCACAUCUGAUUACACUUUCCUUAAGAUACAAAAAUUACCAUAUUCUAUAAAAUGGAACUUUAAUAUAAUUAUGGAACAAAUAGCCCUGAAGGUACUAGAUUAAGCAAUGCCAUUCAUUUCCGACAAAGCUUUCAAAAGAAACCCAGCAUGAGACAGGAUGUGGAGAACAGACUCAUGGUGCUCACCAAACAACAGGCCUAAUUAAAAUCCUCAUACGGACACAAAUCAUCUGAGGAGACGAUCAGGAGUUAUGUACACAACAAUUUAGAGAAGGUGCCGGGAGAUGGCCUAGUCAAUGAAGUGCUUGCUGGUAAGCAUGAGGUCCUGGUUUUGGGUAUCCAGAUCCUAAGUGAAAAGGUGCUGGGAAUCUGAAUAAAGGUCUUCAUGCUUGUGUGAACUAUCUCCUCAGCCCCAGUACAUAAUCUACUAAACAGCAGCAGAAGCCAUGUCUCCGGCACCACUGCAACCCACAACACCUAGUACGGAGUUCUACACAGGAGGAUGAAGAUUCUGGUGAAGAAAACUUAUCUACCACGGGAAAGUAUCUACAUUAUUAAAUAAAUUCGGCCC